rnacentral:rRNA from 1 species
CCCUUAGAUGUUCUGGGCUGCACGCGCGCUACACUGACAUACUCAGCAAGUUUCCUUUCCCGAAAGGGUUGGGUAAUCUUGUUAGUGUAUGUCGUGAUGGGGAUAGAAUAUUGUAAUUAUUGCUCUUUAACGAGGAAUUCCUAGUAAGCGCAAGUCAACAGCUUGCGCUGAUUACGUCCCUGCCCUUUGUACACACCGCCCGUCGCACCUACCGAUUGAAUGGUCCGGUGAAAUCUCGGGACGGCGGCUUGGUCGCUUGCGUCCGACUGCUGAAACUUGAUUAAACCAUAUCAUUUAGAGGAAGGUGAANUCGUAACA